AUGGGAACGCGAAGAACCUUACCUACUCUUGACAUCCAGAGAACUUUCCAGAGAUGGAUUGGUGCCUUCGGGAACUCUGAGACAGGUGCUGCAUGGCUGUCGUCAGCUCGUGUUGUGAAAUGUUGGGUUAAGUCCCGCAACGAGCGCAACCCGUUAUCCUUUGUUGCCAGCGGUUCGGCCGGGAACUCAAAGGAGACUGCCAGUGAUAAACUGGAGGAAGGUGGGGAUGACGUCAAGUCAUCAUGGCCCUUACGAGUAGGGCUACACACGUGCUACAAUGGCGCAUACAAAGAGAAGCGACCUCGCGAGAGCAAGCGGACCUCAUAAAGUGCGUCGUAGUCCGGAUUGGAGUCUGCAACUCGACUCCAUGAAGUCGGAAUCGCUAGUAAUCGUAGAUCAGAAUGCUACGGUGAAUACGUUCCCGGGUCUUGUACACACCGAGUCGUGGGAGGCAAGGGGCAC
rnacentral:rRNA from 1 species